AUUCCUACGGGAGGCAGCAGUAGGGAAUCUUCGGCAAUGGACGAAAGUCUGACCGAGCAACGCCGCGUGAGUGAAGAAGGUUUUCGGAUCGUAAAACUCUGUUGGUAGAGAAGAACGUUGGUGAGAGUGGAAAGCUCAUCAAGUGACGGUAACUACCCAGAAAGGGACGGCUAACUACGUGCCAGCAGCCGCGGUAAUAAU
rnacentral:rRNA from 1 species